rnacentral:rRNA from 1 species
UACGUAGGGGGCAAGCGUUGUCCGGAAUUAUUGGGCGUAAAGAGCGUGUAGGCGGCCAGAUAAGUCCGCUGUGAAAUCUCGAGGCUCAACUUCGAGCUGUCGGUGGAAACUAUCUAGCUAGAGUCCGGAAGAGGAGAAUGGAAUUCCUGGUGUAGCGGUGAAAUGCGCAGAUAUCAGGAAGAACACCCGUGGCGAAGGCGGUUCUCUGGGACGGUACUGACGCUGAGGCGCGAAAGCGUGGGGAGCAAACAGG